rnacentral:rRNA from 1 species
UACGAAGGGGGCUAGCGUUGCUCGGAAUCACUGGCGUAAAGGGUGCGUAGGCGGGUCUUUAAGUCAGGGGUGAAAUCCUGGAGCUCAACUCCAGAACUGCCUUUGAUACUGAAGAUCUUGAGUCCGGGAGAGGUGAGUGGAACUGCGAGUGUAGAGGUGAAAUUCGUAGAUAUUCGCAAGAACACCAGUGGCGAAGGCGGCUUACUGGUCCGGUUCUGACGCUGAGGCGGCGAAAAGCGUGGGGAGCAAACAGG